ensembl:rRNA 5S_rRNA 5S ribosomal RNA
GUCUACGUCCAUAUAACCCUGAACGCGCCCGAUCUCAUCUGUUCUUGGAAACAAAACACGGUCCGACCUGGUUAGUACUUGCGUGGGAGACUGCCUGGGAAUACUGGGUGCUGUAGGUU